ACACUUGUACGUACUUAAUGAUGUGAGUGCGUCGUUAUACUCGUAGUUACUCUUCGUACGUUUAGUGGAAUCAACGCGAACGGAACUGCAAAUGUAAAUGUUGUUUUUCAGUAUUAGUUAUGAGCAGAAGCGGCAUGUUUAGUAGCAUCUCACUCACCCGAUGGACGUUAUCGAAACGAUUGUACUCGACAUGGACCAAUCAGAGGAGAGUACCGUACGGCGGCCGAGUGAGGACAAAAAGAUCCGAGCGCGAGAACAGCGGCCAAACAAAGACACUGGAGGAGUGCCAUGUUACAAGAGAAUUCCUGAGGCGAGCCAAUGGCCCGAUAAAUCUGCCGGAGCCUCUCUCUCAAUUUGUCUCCAUGGAAUGUCAGCUGGCAAGCGCCCAGACACUGAGAACCUCUUUUCACAAUGCGCCAAUCUAACAGACGAGAUCCCAUGUUGGAGCUACAGCACAAGGACUGGCAUGGAUAAAUUGCCACGUGCCUUAUCUAGGUCUCUUUAUGUCUAGCUGUCUGAGGUCUUGUUCCUCACGCGGCCACGGAGGCCACUUCCUCCAAGACCUGGCUGUUAACCUGAGCGGCUGAGUGGAUGACAUUGACAAAAUGCCGGUGUCACCAAAGAGGACCCUGUGAUAUGACACAGAUGCUGUGUCAACUCGUCUUACUCCGUAUGACCCACAGUGUGAACAGAAAUUGUCCUGCUUGGUGUCGUUCAUCACUGUGCGGCACAGUCUCCCAGAUAGUUCGGUCCAGGUGGUGGAAUGGCAGAGUGGGAGAACAGACCAUGUUUGUGUGAAGAUGCAACAACUUUUUUUUUUACUUUCUCUCUCCUUCCCUCCCUCCUCCUCUUCAAACAGACUGCUGUAGCACUCUUUGUACUGUAUUUAAAGGUUGUAGGUUAGCAAACAACAAGAUGCCUUCCCACCUGUACCCCGAAAUGAGUCAUGAGCCAUGAAUGAAUUCAUCCAUUUAUUUAUGUAUAUUAUUUUCAGGAAAACACAAACACACAUGCACAGAUUAGUAGGAGUGGAGUAUUUAUCAAGAUAUCAAGUAAUAAUUACUGAUUUAAUGUCUACGACAACAAUUUAUUAUUAUUAUUCAACAUUAUCUUGUUAGCUAACAAUGGAAAUAAGUUGAUGAUAUAUACUGUAUGUACAGUAUGAUAUGUCCAUAUCAUAUAGUUCAGUAGUGACCCACAAAUAUGCACACAGACUCAGAUUACUGGAUCUUGUCCUCAAGUUACAUUGCAGUGCAAUUAGAUUAUGACCAUUUCUAUGUUUGUUUUGUGGAAUAACAAUGUGGAAAUAUGGGCAUUUAAAAAUAUCUUUUUUUUUUUAAACAGAAACUACCAAAUGAUGUAGGACAAGAUUAAAACCCAAAUGAAUAUCA